rnacentral:lncRNA from 1 species
AACUAAUCCCCAUCACCUCCGCCCUUUGGGGGAAUCUGACCCGUGUUCACCUUGCUCUCUGCCCUCUCACAGCCAGCAUCACAGUCUGGAAAUGUUCUGGCACACAGUAGGUGCUCAGGAUGGGAAUGCAGAAUGAUGGAGGGUGGGACAAAGGGCCGCUUCUGAGGAACGGGCAUCCAGCUGGAGGGCCUGGCUUAUGGGCAGGAAGCAGACCUCUGGGUCAAGAAAGUGGAAAGAGCACUGCACCCAGGACUGCACUGCACCCAGGAGUCCAUGUACAAGCUGUGACCCGGCUGAACCUCACUUUCUUCAACUGUAAAAUGGAGCUGUCUGGACUUUCUUGGAAAGAACUUCUGGAUAAGUGGUAUCAUAUAAUGAGCAGAGGAAAACACUGUGCUCCAGAAGAAUACAUUUAUGUUUGCUUAAUUAACUGAAACCCAUUGUUCAGAGCACUACACUAGACACAAGAAGAGGGGCGACAGAUAAUUCCUUGCUCCCAAGGGAGUUAACCAUCUCAUUGGAGAGACAAGUACACAAAGGAGAGAGUGAUGGAGGAGCGGGGGUGCAGACCACCCCUUGGACUCUGGAUACCUCUGGAACACGGAACACAGUGGCUGUACCAGAACCUACUCCCAUCUGGCUUGAUAAUGGGACCUGCUUCUAGGACUCUUGCUUAGUAUCUAGCUCAGCAAGGUUG